rnacentral:rRNA from 1 species
GAAUAUUGGACAAUGGGCGAAAGCCUGAUCCAGCGACGCCGCGUGUGUGAAGAAGGCCUGCGGGUUGUAAAGCACUUUCGAUGGGAACGAAAUGUGCCGGGCUAAUACCCCGGCAAGCUGACGUUACUCAAUGAAGAAGCACCGGCUAAACCUGUGCCAGCAGCCGCGGUAAUACAGAGGGUGCGAGCGUUAAAGGGACUUACUGGGCGGAAAGCGCACGUAGGUGGCGACGUAAGUCGGGUGUGAAAGCCCCGGGCUCAACCUGGGAAUUGCAUUCGAGACUGUGUUGCUGGAGUACGGAAGAGGAGGGCGGAAUUCCCGGUGUAGCGGUGAAAUGCGUAGAUAUCGGGAGGAACAUCAGUGGCGAAGGCGGCCCUCUGGUCCAGUACUGACACUCAAGUGCGAAAGCGUGGGGAGCAAACAGG